GCCUGGCUGGUUCAGUCGGUAGAGUGUGUGACUCUUGAUCACAGGGUCGAGAGUUCAAGCCCCACCUUGGGUG
rnacentral:tRNA from 1 species